AGUUUUGCACAGUGGCAGUAUCAUAGCCAAUGAGGUUUAUCUGAGGCGCGAUUAUUGCUAAUUGAAGUCAAGAAACAAAUUGUAAAUGGUUGGAAGCAAUUCUGGUAG
rnacentral:snRNA from 1 species